GAAAUGCCACGUCCGCCGCGGUCGGAUCUCCCCUCGCGCGCGCCGGCGGCCUGGGCUGCAGAGGGGGCUGGCCAAGGCGCACCUUCCAGCCCCUCCUUUCUCCAGGCAGGAAACCACAGGCCUCUUUGCGAAGGACAAUGUAUUCCACACACUUUCCCAGUGCUUGUCGCUUAAUUGGAGUGAAGCCUUGAGGUCCCCUGGCAUGGAGCGGAAGGCCGGUGGUGGCAGCCAGCCAAGGGCUGCCAUAUUGUAAAGAAGCCUGAAGUCUCCUGCUUUUAAGGAGUGGCUACAAAUGUGAAUUCCAUCAGACCCAGACUGCUGUGAGAUCAGCGGCUUUCCGCUUCUCUGGUGACUUACACCACCCCAGAGGCACGAACACAACGUCCCCACGCAGUGCAGCUCCACAGCCAAGGACCUUUGGAGCAACGAAGAGAAAGUGCCCAUCAGGCAAGGUGCACAGAGCAGGCAAGUCCCACCAUGGAGCAUCUGCCGCCUGCCUGGUGAAAUCUGAGGCACGUUCCAGAAGCCUCACCUAUUCCUUUGCACACGCAAAAGAGCCUGUGACCACUCUCUACAAUAAGCCAUGGAUGAAAGGCUGCUUCUCGUCCAUUCUCUUGGUGUGUGGAAGCCUCCAGAAGAAGCUAAUUGGACUGAAUUUUCAUUCAGUCCAGAUCACCCACACUUCAGAUCACCCACAGUCAACAUCUAGCUCAUUAGGCAGAUCCUCACCAACAGAUCCCAACAAGGAACCCUGUUGGCAGUCUGUGCAGACUGGAGCACGAUAUCGUUAGACACUGGAUGAUGCUGUUGCUCCUUUGCAACCAAUCUGGUGCCAACCUUGGUUUGGUUUGAUUUAAACUGUUUUUUCAAACAACAGGGUGGUUCGGUUCACAUUUGAACCAAGCGAGUGAUAGUAACACACACGCGAAUCACCCUUGGUUCGCUAUGGUUCGCUUGGUUCAUUAGCUCACCCCCUGUUUCUGGUUAGCCUCGAACCGGGCUUUUCAAACAGCAGGGGGGUGUCAUUCGCAUUCAAAGCACUCGAACAAUUUGCUACAGGCUGUCAACUAACUGAACUAGUUCAGACUUUGGUGCCAGUGGAUAUUUCCCUGUUAGACAAAAGUGUGUUGCACUGUUGCACUACUGUGCUGAUUGCUUCCAUGUGGAAGUUAUCCAAAGCUUGCCUGCUGCCUAAAUUUGGGGGGCUGUCCAAUAUUGACCAAACUAUUGACCGAACAGUUGCAUGUCCCCAGAAUACUUGGAGAAAGUUCUUUCCUAGUAUUAACCAAAGGAGAAUUUGGAGGGUCCUCCCACUUUUGCAUAAUUUGUUUCUUCUGUAGUUUCACAGGAGAGAGAGAUCUAAUUUUCUUCUUUUCUUUUUUAAACACCUCACAUUUGUCUCUGGGGAAAAUACAGUGGUGACAGUAAAUGACACGCUUCUCUAAAAUAACAGCCCAACAUCGUUGGCACCACUGUGGCUACAGACUGGAUAGACCAGUAUAGCUAAGAAUAUUCUGCCUUGCUCCUUUGAUUACAGCUUUCUUUUCCUGGGGUGGCAUUGUGGUUUGGUCAUUAUCAAGCCUUUUAUCUACCGUGCUGUUAGAUCUCUCUAUUGAGCAUCUCCUGAAGAGGCAAAGGACUCCUUAUGCUCAAGAUAAAUGGACGCAGUUUGGCCUGGAUGAUUAGGCUGCAUUGUGAUUUGCAAGGUGGGGGCACUGGGCAGGCCUGUGUCUCUGGAGGGGCUAAAUUACUACUUACACAAGCUGAAAAUAGCCGGCUUUGCUGCACUAC
rnacentral:lncRNA from 1 species